UAGGGAAUUUUCGGCAAUGGGGGCAACCCUGACCGAGCAACGCCGCGUGAGUGAAGACGGCCUUCGGGUUGUAAAGCUCUGUUGUAAGGGAAGAACGGUAGAUAGAGAAUAUCUAAGUGACGGUACCUUACCAGAAAGCCACGGCUAACUACGUGCCAGCAGCCGCGGUAAUACGUAGGUGGCGAGCGUUAUCCGGAAUUAUUGGGCGUAAAGGGUGCGUAGGCGGCCUGUUAAGUAAGUGGUUAAAUUGUUGGGCUCAACCCAAUCCAGCCACUUAAACUGGCAGGCUAGAGUAUUGGAGAGGCAAGUGGAAUUCCAUGUGUAGCGGUAAAAUGCGUAGAUAUAUGGAGGAACACCAGUGGCGAAGGCGGCUUGCUAGCCAAAGACUGACGCUCAUGCACGAAAGCGUGGGGAGCAAAUAGGAUUAGAUACCCUAGUAGUCCACGCCGUAAACGAUGAAUACUAAGUAUUGGGGAAACUCAGUGCUGCAGCUAACGCAAUAAGUAUUCCGCCUGUGGAGUAUGCACGCAAGUGUG
rnacentral:rRNA from 1 species